rnacentral:tRNA from 1 species
UCUCCGGUGGUGUAAAGGUAGCAUAUAUCCUUGUCGCGGAUAUGAUCUGAGUUCAAUUCUCAGCUGGAGAG